UGGGGUGUCGCCAAGCGGUAAGGCAUUGGAUUCUGACUCCAACAUUCGUGGGUUCAAACCCUACCACCCCAGCCA
rnacentral:tRNA from 1 species